rnacentral:ncRNA from 2 species
UUGUCAGGUGGGGAGUUUGGCU